GAUCAAUAUUGAAAUCCUCCUUCAGUCUCAUUUUAGCUAGUAAAUUCACAGCAUCCAUGGGUCUUCCAUUCUGCACAUGGCCUGAUAUCAUAACUGUCCAACAAAUCAAGCUCUUCUCUACCAUCUGGUGAAACCCAUUCUCUAGAAGAACACA